rnacentral:rRNA from 1 species
UACGUAGGGGGCAAGCGUUGUCCGGAAUCAUUGGGCGUAAAGAGCGUGUAGGCGGUCCGGUAAGUCGGCUGUGAAAGUCCAGGGCUCAACCCUGGGAUGCCGGUCGAUACUGCCGGACUAGAGUUCGGAAGAGGCGAGUGGAAUUCCCGGUGUAGCGGUGAAAUGCGUAGAGAUCGUAAGGAAGACCAGUGGCGAAGGCGAGUCUCUGGACAGUUACUGACGCUGAGGCACGAAGGCCAGGGGAGCAAACGGG